UACGUAGGGGGCAAGCGUUAUCCGGAUUCACUGGGUGUAAAGGGAGCGUAGACGGCGACGCAAGUCUGGAGUGAAAGCCCGGGGCCCAACCCCGGGACUGCUCUGGAAACUGCGGCGCUGGAGUACGGGAGGGGCAGGCGGAAUUCCUGGUGUAGCGGUGAAAUGCGUAGAUAUCAGGAGGAACACCGGUGGCGAAAGCGGCUCUCUGGCCUGUAACUGACACUGAGGCCCGAAGGCGUGGGGAGCAAACAGG
rnacentral:rRNA from 1 species